UUGGCAUUACACAGCUCAUGACUUGCUUCUUCCUCAGGUGAAUGUUUUGGAGAUCUGAUGUUAUUUUAAACUGACAUCUUUCUCAAUUAAUCUUUUGUAAGCACAACAAAAUCCAGGCAGGUGAUCAGCAGGCGCCUGAAACACCUCUGACUCCUCAGGAUGCCUGUGCUCCCUGGGAUUAUUGUUUAUGGAGCGGUGCUUCUGUGUGCAGCUCUUACACUCUGUGUCACCAUGAGUUCUUCCACUAAGGUGAACGUGAAUGUCGUAAAUAAGUUUACAGGAGACCCGCCCUCAUCCAAGGGUCCUAGAGGUAGAGGCAAGAAGUGAGAUCCAGUGUGCAGAUCAGCAAAAUGAAAGAGUCUAUAAGAAUCUAGAAGAAUUCUAGAAGAUUCUAGGAGAAUCUUUCACUGCAACAAAAGAAGACCUCCCCCUUCUCUGCUCUACAACCCAGGUCCUUCUUUUCCUGACAAUCUAAGGGCAAAGUCCCUCCUUGCUCACACCCUGCACUCCAUGCUUCACUUCAGCCCCAUGAAUCCUGCUGUCCUUCUGUUGAAUGGAGAGGAGUUUUUCAUGUAUGUCAGCACUUAGUCCCCCCUGGGGGUGUGCCC